UUUCAUUUAUCAAAAGUCUGCUUAUGGAUGAAUCUCAAAAAUGAUAAAUACGAACACCUCCUAAAGCUGUGAUCAAAACCAAUUAAAAACAUAUUUAAACUGAGGUAUUAACAUGGAUAUAUGUCUGCUACAGAUUCUAAUAACAAUUUCAGGUGUGUUUGCUGACAGCAUUGGACCAAAUAAGGAUACUAAUAUGAUCAAGAGAGAAGGAGAGUCUGUGACACUGAGCUGCACAUAUGACACAAGCAGCAAUUAUAUUUAUCUUUACUGGUACAGACAGUAUCCCAACACAGAACCUCAGUAUUUACUGUGGAAAGGUGCUCGAUCAUACGGAGGAGAGCAUAAAACAGAUCAACGAUUUCAGCCAGCUACAUCCCAAACAUCCACUGAACUCACUAUUGACAGUGUAACUCUGUCAGAUUCAGCUCUCUAUUAUUGUGCUCUAACAGUAGGGGCCCAGUGAUACAAAAGGCCUGAGAAGCUUUACAAAAACUCACACACUGUUCUUGCUUUGAACUACAGCAAACAAAAGUGUAUCAAAACACAGAAAUGUCAGUAUUCAAAUGUUUUUCAAACCACAUGUAUAUCUUUUGUAAACAACUGAGACUCUAAACAGAAUGUGGUAACACCUGUUGAACAGUUCUGAAGUAUGUGAGAGUGGAGAGGAUAGGAUAUGACAUCAAACUAGAAAAACUUCUGAACACACUUGCUGUAUGCAAUUCAGUUUAUGUAAUUUGCAUAAAGUUACUCCUUAGCAUGGUUCCAUACAGUGGCAAUCAAAGCUAAAUUAUAUUCUCAACUGUAUGAAA